AUGAUCUGUACCAGCCACAAGAUCCAUCACAGCAGUCACACUUGGCUAAAGCAGCAACACCAAGAGAAGGGCCAUCAGCCGCGAGAGGAAAGAAAAGAGCCAGUCAGCCGAGCAACCAGAUCAAACAUGGGACGGAGAGAAGUGAUGGUGGGGUUACGGCCUUGUGGGUGGAGAAGAAGAUUGGUGAGGAAACAUGCCGAGGAGGAGCCAGCAGAUGCAGAUGAGAAAAGCAAAGGUGGGGAAGAAAAGGCGGGCAGAAGUGAGAGAGAGAGAGGACAAGAGAGAAGCCACACCUUGUAG
rnacentral:rRNA from 1 species